AUUGAACGCUGGCGGAAUGCUUUACACAUGCAAGUCGAACGGCAGCACGGACUUCGGUCUGGUGGCGAGUGGCGAACGGGUGAGUAAUGUAUCGGAACGUGCCCAGUCGUGGGGGAUAACGUAGUGAAAAUUACGCUAAUACCGCAUACGAUCUAUGGAUGAAAGCAGGGGAUCGCAAGACCUCGCGCGAUUGGAGCGGCCGAUAUCAGAUUAGGUAGUUGGUGGGGUAAAGGCCCACCAAGCCAACGAUCUGUAGCUGGUCUGAGAGGACGACCAGACACACUGGAACGGAGGCACGGUCCAGACUCCUACGGGAGGCAGCAGUGGGGAAGUUUGGACAAUGGGCGAAAGCCUUAUCCAGCCAUUCCGCGUGCAGGAUGAAGGCCCUCGGGUUGUAAACUGCUUUUGUACAGAACGAAAAGGUUUCUACUAAUACUAGGAGCUCAUGACGGUACUGUAAGAAUAAGCACCGGCUAACUACGUGCCAGCCGCCGCCGUAA
rnacentral:rRNA from 1 species